UAGUCCACGCCGUAAACGAUGUUUGCUAGUUGUCGGGACCAAAGGUUUCGGUGACGGAGAGAAAUCAUUAAGCAAACCGCCUGGGGAGUACGGCCGCAAGGUUAAAACUCAAAGGAAUUGACGGGGACCCGCACAAGCGGUGGAGCAUGUUGUUUAAUUCGAAGCAACGCGAAGAACCUUACCCACUCUUGACAUACCUCUUGGGACUUUCAGAGAUGAUUGUCUUCGGUUCGGCCGGGGAGGAUACAGGUGCUGCAUGGCUGUCGUCAGCUCGUGUCGUGAGAUGUUCGGUUAAGUCCGGUAACGAGCGCAACCCUUAUCGUAUGUUGCCAUCAUUCAGUUGGGCACUCAUGCGAGACUGCCGGUGAUAAGCCGGAGGAAGGCGGGGACGACGUCAAGUCAUCAUGGCCCUUACGAGUGGGGCUACAAACGUGCUACAAUGGCAGUGACAAUGGGCAGCUACCUCGCGAGAGGAUGCUAAUCUCCAAAAACUGUCUCAGUUCGGAUUG
rnacentral:rRNA from 1 species